CAAGAGCGUAUGUAAAAGUUGUUGCAGUUAAAAAGCUCGUAGUUGAACCUUGGGUUUGGUUGGCCGGUCCGCUUUUUUGCGAGUACUGGAUUCAACCGAGCCUUUCCUUCUGGCUAACCAGUCGUUUCGGCGGCUGGCGAACCAGGAUUUUUACUUUGAGAAAAUUAGAGUGUUCAAAGCAGGCAUUAGCUUGAAUAUAUUAGCAUGGAAUAAUAGAAUAGGACGUUAUGGUUCUAUUUUGUUGGUUUCUAGGUCCAUCGUAAUGAUUAAUAGGGACGGUCGGGGGCAUCAGUAUUCAGUUGUCAGAGGUGAAAUUCUUGGAUUUACUGAAGACUAACUACUGCGAAAGCAUUUGCCAAGGACGUUUUCAUUAA
rnacentral:rRNA from 1 species